UACGGAGGGUGCGAGCGUUAAUCGGAAUCACUGGGCGUAAAGCGCGCGUAGGCGGCUUUUCAAGUCAGGGGUGAAAUCCCACGGCCCAACCGUGGAACUGCCUUUGAAACUGUAGAGCUUGAGUGUCGGAGAGGGUGGCGGAAUUCCAGGUGUAGGAGUGAAAUCCGUAGAUAUCUGGAGGAACACCGGUGGCGAAGGCGGCCACCUGGACGACAACUGACGCUGAGGCACGAAAGCGUGGGGAUCAAACAGG
rnacentral:rRNA from 1 species